GCCGGGAGUGGUGGUGUACUCCUGUAAUCCAACUACUUGGAGGCUAGGUAUAGAGGAUGUUUUAAGGGGGCGGAGAUUCUGGAAUUGGAUUUCCCCCUUUGACUUGACGUCUGCUAGGGGUAAAUCAUCAACUUGGUGAACCCGAGAUAGCCAGGUUGAGUCCGAAAAGAAGAAAAAUCGACCCAAAAGUCACCAAGUUCAAAUCUCGGGAGUGGGAAUUCAAUUUCAGCUCGUCCAAACAAGAACAGACCUGUACCUAU
rnacentral:SRP_RNA from 2 species